UCGGAAUUACUGGGCGUAAAGACGCAUGCAGGUGGUUUGUUUAAGUUCAGAUGUGAAAGACCCGGGGCCGUCAACCUACCGGAAUAGCAUUUGUAAACUAGGCAGACUAGAGUACUGUAGAGGGGGGUAGGAAUUUCUAGGUGUAGCGGUGAAAUAGCGUAGAGAUCUGAAGGAAUACCGGUGGCGAAGGCGGCCCCCCUCGGACAGAUACUGACACUCAGAUGCGAAAGCGUGGGGAGCAAACAGGAUUAGAUACCCUGGUAG
rnacentral:rRNA from 1 species